GGGGCUGUAGCUCAGUGGUAAGAGCAUCUGCUUGGCAUCUGGAAGGUCCCUGGUUCAGUUCCUGGGAUCUCCA
rnacentral:tRNA from 1 species